GAUUAAGUUAUUAAGGGCGCACGGUGGAUGCCUUGGCACUAGAAGCCGACGAAGGACGUUACUAACGACGAUAUGCUUUGGGGAGCUGUAAGUAAGCUUUGAUCCAGAGAUUUCCGAAUGGGGAAACCCAGCACGAGUUAUGUCGUGUUAUCUGCAUGUGAAUACAUAGCAUGCAAGAAGGCAGACCCGGAGAACUGAAACAUCUUAGUACCCGGAGGAAGAGAAAGAAAAAUCGAUUCCCUGAGUAGCGGCGAGCGAAACGGGAAGAGCCCAAACCAAUAAGCUUGCUUAUUGGGGUUGUAGGACACUCUGUACGGAGUUACAAAAGAAUUUGUUAGACGAAUAACCUGGAAAGGUUAAUCAGAGAAGGUAAUAAUCCUGUAGUCGAAA
rnacentral:rRNA from 1 species